CAUCUAAAGCUAAAUACCGGCCGGAGACCGAUAGCGCACAAGUAGAGUGAUCGAAAGAUGAAAAGCACUUUGGAAAGAGAGUCAAACAGCACGUGAAAUUGUUGAAAGGGAAGCGCUGGCCCCCAGACCUGCCCCGCGGGCGAUCCCCCGAGGCGAUAAAGCCACGGGGGGUACUCUCCCGCGCGCAGGCCAGCACGGGUUCGGGCGGCGGGACAAAGCGCCCGGGAAUGUAGCUCCCUCCGGGGAGCCUUAUAGCCCGGGCGGUCAUGCCGCCCGCCCGGACCGAGGACCGCGCUUCGGCGAGGGUGCUGGCGUAAUGGGGGUCAGCGACCCGUCUUGAAACACGGACCAAGGAGUCUAACGUCCCCGCGAGUGUUCGGGCGUCAAACCCCCGGCGCGGAAUGAAAGUGAACGGAGGUGGGAGCCCCGCGAGGGGCGCACCAUCGACCGAUCCAGAUGUCUUCGGAUGGAUUUGAGUACGAGCGCGGCCGUUGGGACCCGAAAGAUGGUGAACUAUGCCUGGGUAGGGUGAAGCCAGAGGAAACUCUGGUGGAGGCUCGCAGCGGUUCUGACGUGCAAAUCGAUCGUCAAACCUGGGCAUAGGGGCGAAAGACUAAUCGAACCAUCUAGUAGCUGGUUCCUGUCGAAGUUUCCCUCAGGAUAGCAGUCGCGCGGGCGGUUUUAUGAGGUAAAGCGAAUGAUUAGAGGCCUUGGGGGUGCAACACCCUUAACCUAUUCUCAAACUUUAAAUAUGUAAGAAGCCCCUGUUGCUUCGGUGAACGGGGGCGCGCGAACGCGGCGCGGCUAGUGGGCCAUUUUUGGUAAGCAGAACUGGCGAUGCGGGAUGAACCGAACGCGGGGUUAAGGUGCCGGAAUGCACGCUCAUCAGACACCACAAAAGAUGUCAAUUCAUCCGGACAGCCGGACGGUGGCCAUGGAAGCCGGAACCCGCCAAGGAGUGCGUAACAGCUCACCGGCCGAAUGAAUUGGCUUGAAAAUGGAUGGCGCUCAAGCGUGCUACCCAUACCCCGCCGCCGGGGCAAAAGCGAUGCCCCGGCGAGU
rnacentral:rRNA from 1 species